UGGGGAAUUUUGGACAAUGGGGGAAACCCUGAUCCAGCCAUCCCGCGUGUGCGAUGAAGGCCUUCGGGUUGUAAAGCACUUUUGGCAGGAAAGAAACGUCAUGGGUUAAUACCCCGUGAAACUGACGGUACCUGCAGAAUAAGCACCGGCUAACUACGUGCCAGCAGCCGCGGUAAUACGUAGGGUGCAAGCGUUAAUCGGAAUUACUGGGCGUAAAGCGUGCGCAGGCGGUUCGGAAAGAAAGAUGUAAAUCCCAGAGCUCAACUUUGGAACUGCAUUUUUAACUACCGGGCUAGAGUGUGUCAGAGGGAGGUGGAAUUCCGCGUGUAGCAGUGAAAUGCGUAGAUAUGCGGAGGAACACCGAUGGCGAAGGCAGCCUCCUGGGAUAACACUGACGCUCAUGCACGAAAGCGUGGGGAGCAAACAGG
rnacentral:rRNA from 1 species